GUGGAAGAAGUGAGCGACAGACUUUAAAGUGGUUUGGCCACAUGGAGUGAAUGGAGGAGAGUAAGAUGACCAGAAGGGUGUAUGUGAGUGAGAUAGAGGGAGGGAAUGCUAGAGGACGACCUCCAGUGAAAUGGAGGGAUAGGGUGCAAGAGUACAUUAGGGAGAGGGGGGAAAGAUCUUUGAGAAACUUUGAGCAGGCAAGGAGGGAGUGUCUGGAUAGAGGAAGAUGGAAGCUCUUCUGCCGUGGCCAUCCCCUGGUGGGAACUCCUAGGAGCAGGCGUCGAUGAAAUGAUGAUGAUGAUGAUGAUGAUGGGUCUAGAACAAUGUUUUCAAAGUCACAAUCAACAAACUAGCUCUGUCUUGCCCCUAACCUUAAAAAUCAUCAAAAAAUGAGAACACGCCAGGUUUGCCAAGACCCCCAAAGCUCCCCCAGUAACAAAUAAGAUCACUAGGUUUUGCCGAAGUAAACACUAAAGCUUCUUCCUCCUCUUCCUCCUCCUCUCAGAUCAACCGCACGUGCAAGACAUGCCAGGCUCUGAUGUCCAGUGUGGAGGAGAUCGGAAUUCCUAUCAUGAGGGAGACACACAACCGCACCACACCCUCACCGGACGCCAGCAAGCUAUUGCCAUCCUGUAGUCGCCACACCUCCAGGCUGGUCGUGGCUUGGGGGGGAACCGUACAUUUUCUCCUCAGUUCUGUGUCUUAAUUUUAGCAGGGAGUUCUCCAGGCACACGCCAGCAUUGCCGCCAAGGACUUCACACUGCACUGCCCGAAACACCCGUCGAGGGUGAUGAGGAUGAGGAGACAGUCAAGAUUGUGCAGUGGGUGAAGAGCAAUGAGCCAAUGGGAGCCACCAUCAAGCAGGACGACCACUCCGGAGCCAUCAUCAUCACCCGCAUCAUGCAUGGCUGACUGCUCUGGCCUCAUCCAUGCUGCCGACGAGGUGCAGGGGUCAACACCUUCAAUGUGGAGGGCAAGACACCGGCGGAUGUACACA